GGCAGGGGGUCCCUGAGCCACGGAAGCCUCACCUUCUCCUUGGUCAUGUCCAGGAGGCCCACGGAGUACCGCUCGCAGUUGAGGUAGGCCCGCACCGUGUAGAAGGCCUUGUGGAACUGCCUCUCGAUGUCCGUCAGCUCCUCAAACACCUUGUUGGCCGACCACAGCAGCACCUGGAGGGAGGGGCACACCUGUGGGCCUGUGGCCACUCCCACCCUCACGCCGGUCUGACCACAGCAGCAGGGGUUUAACUCAAGCCUGACACAGGUUUCAUCUGAGCUUGUGGGGCCCGGGAGCUGGCUGGCGGUGAGGCCUCGAGGCUGCGGUCGUGUCCCUGAUCACUCAGGAGUGGACGAGUGGAAAGUGGAAUCUGUCGCUUUGAGCUUGACAGGCAAACAUCCGACCAGCCCUUCCUCCGCCCGGCUGCUCCAGAACCACCUGCGGCGAGCAGGGCUUUGAGAACAUCGGGCCGUGGUUUCCGCACGUCAGGCCGCCUGUGGCCUCCGCCAAGCGUCUGAGAGUGAAGCAUUGCUGACGCACUCCACGAGGUCCUGGCCAGACCCCACUCAGGACAUCCCGCUGCACAGGCCCCUGGUUGCUGGGUCAGCGCUGCCACCAGGCUCAGACUCACCCCAGGGCCCUCCUUGGGCCACCUUUCUCUGCCUCCUUGGUCAAGGCCCAGACCCAGGCCCCACCAGGCCCUGCCUCCUCACACUCGCGGCGGCCGCUGGGUCUUCUACCGCAUGGUGCCAGCUCCCUCUCCUCCGCUGCGGUGUCCUAGCCCAGCUCUCUCCCUGCCAGGCCCUCUGAAGUUCCACCCCCUGGCACUCAGCUCAUGGUGGGAACAGGACCAGGCUCUCCUGUUGCCAAGGGCAGUGAGAUGUUCG
rnacentral:lncRNA from 1 species